rnacentral:rRNA from 2 species
CGGCGGCGUGCCUAAUACAUGCAAGUCGAACGAACUCUGGUAUUGAUUGGUGCUUGCAUCAUGAUUUACAUUUGAGUGAGUGGCGAACUGGUGAGUAACACGUGGGAAACCUGCCCAGAAGCGGGGGAUAACACCUGGAAACAGAUGCUAAUACCGCAUAACAACUUGGACCGCAUGGUCCGAGUUUGAAAGAUGGCUUCGGCUAUCACUUUUGGAUGGUCCCGCGGCGUAUUAGCUAGAUGGUGGGGUAACGGCUCACCAUGGCAAUGAUACGUAGCCGACCUGAGAGGGUAAUCGGCCACAUUGGGACUGAGACACGGCCCAAACUCCUACGGGAGGCAGCAGUAGGGAAUCUUCCACAAUGGACGAAAGUCUGAUGGAGCAACGCCGCGUGAGUGAAGAAGGGUUUCGGCUCGUAAAACUCUGUUGUUAAAGAAGAACAUAUCUGAGAGUAACUGUUCAGGUAUUGACGGUAUUUAACCAGAAAGCCACGGCUAACUACGUGCCAGCAGCCGCGGUAAUACGUAGGUGGCAAGCGUUGUCCGGAUUUAUUGGGCGUAAAGCGAGCGCAGGCGGUUUUUUAAGUCUGAUGUGAAAGCCUUCGGCUCAACCGAAGAAGUGCAUCGGAAACUGGGAAACUUGAGUGCAGAAGAGGACAGUGGAACUCCAUGUGUAGCGGUGAAAUGCGUAGAUAUAUGGAAGAACACCAGUGGCGAAGGCGGCUGUCUGGUCUGUAACUGACGCUGAGGCUCGAAAGUAUGGGUAGCAAACAGGAUUAGAUACCCUGGUAGUCCAUACCGUAAACGAUGAAUGCUAAGUGUUGGAGGGUUUCCGCCCUUCAGUGCUGCAGCUAACGCAUUAAGCAUUCCGCCUGGGGAGUACGGCCGCAAGGCUGAAACUCAAAGGAAUUGACGGGGGCCCGCACAAGCGGUGGAGCAUGUGGUUUAAUUCGAAGCUACGCGAAGAACCUUACCAGGUCUUGACAUACUAUGCAAAUCUAAGAGAUUAGACGUUCCCUUCGGGGACAUGGAUACAGGUGGUGCAUGGUUGUCGUCAGCUCGUGUCGUGAGAUGUUGGGUUAAGUCCCGCAACGAGCGCAACCCUUAUUAUCAGUUGCCAGCAUUAAGUUGGGCACUCUGGUGAGACUGCCGGUGACAAACCGGAGGAAGGUGGGGGAUGACGUCAAAUCAUCAUGCCCCUUAUGACCUGGGCUACACACGUGCUACAAUGGAUGGUACAACGAGUUGCGAACUCGCGAGAGUAAGCUAAUCUCUUAAAGCCAUUCUCAGUUCGGAUUGUAGGCUGCAACUCGCCUACAUGAAGUCGGAAUCGCUAGUAAUCGCGGAUCAGCAUGCCGCGGUGAAUACGUUCCCGGGCCUUGUACACACCGCCCGUCACACCAUGAAGAGUUUGUAACACCCAAAGUCGGUGGGGUAACCUUUUAGGAACCAGCCGCCUAAGGUGGGACAGAUGAUUAGGUGAUAAACCCAGGGGGAAGCAAAA